rnacentral:tRNA from 1 species
GGGCGGUUGACUCAGUGGUGAGAGUGCCACCCUUACAAGGUGGAAGUCGGGGGUUCGAAUCCCUCACCGCCCA